rnacentral:rRNA from 1 species
CGACCGAGACCCCAUGUCAGGCGGGAUUACCCGGCUGAGUUUAA